rnacentral:rRNA from 1 species
GGGGGGGGCAAGCGUUGUUCGGAAUUACUGGGCGUAAAGGGCGCGUAGGCGGUCCCGCAAGUCCUCCGUGAAAUCCCACAGCUCAACUGUGGAAUUGCGAGGGAAACUGCAGGACUUGAGUUCGGGAGAGGAGAGUGGAAUCCCCAGUGUAGCGGUGAAAUGCGUAGAUAUUGGGAGGAACACCGGUGGCGAAGGCGGCUCUCUGGACCGACACUGACGCUGAGGCGCGAAAGCUAGGGGAGCAAACGGGAUCAGAUACCCCGGUAGUCCUAGCCCUAAACGAUGAGCACUUGGUGUGGCGGGUAUCGCCCCCCUGCCGUGCCCGAAGCUAACGCAUUAAGUGCUCCGCCUGGGGAGUACGGUCGCAAGGCUG